UUGUGCGGCGAUGGUUCAUUCAAAUUUCUGCCCUAUCAACUUUCGAUGGUAGGAUAGUGGCCUACCAUGGUGCAACGGGUAACGGGGAAUUAGGGUUCUAUUCCGGAGAGGGAGCCUGAGAAACGGCUGCCACAUCCAAGGAAGGCAGCAGGCGCGCAAAUUACCCAAUCCCGACACGGGGAGGUAGUGACAAUAAAUACUGAUACAGGGGCUCUUUUGGGUCUGUGUAAUUGGAAUGAGUACAAUUUAAAUCCCUUAACGAGGAACAAUUGGAGGGCAAGUCUGGUGCCAGCAGCCGCGGUAAUUCCAGCUCCAAUAGCGUAUAUUAAAGUUGUUGCAGUUAAAAAGCUCGUAGUUGAACCUUGAGCCUGG
rnacentral:rRNA from 1 species